rnacentral:lncRNA from 1 species
AAGCCACACCCAUCAAGACUCCCAAGUCUUGUACGUAAUAUUUGUGUAUGUAUAUAUGAUGAUUAUUAGCGACUUAAUCAUCAUAAUACAAUCACAAUUUGCAGCCAUGGAGAAAAGUCUUUAUUGCAAUUUGCCAUAUGCAUUCCUAAUCACCAUAACCUUCCAAAUGCUUUCUUCUGAAUCCAAACAGCCUCUGAGCCUUGCAACUGAUCAAACUGCCCUUCUUUCACUCAAACAACACAUCACC